rnacentral:rRNA from 1 species
AAAUUGAAGAGUUUGAUCAUGGCUCAGAUUGAACGCUGGCGGCAGGCCUAACACAUGCAAGUCGAACGGUAGCACAGAGAGCUUGCUCUCGGGUGACGAGUGGCGGACGGGUGAGUAAUGUCUGGGAAACUGCCUGAUGGAGGGGGAUAACUACUGGAAACGGUGGCUAAUACCGCAUAACGUCGCAAGACCAAAGAGGGGGACCUUCGGGCCUCUUGCCAUCAGAUGUGCCCAGAUGGGAUUAGCUUGUUGGUGAGGUAACGGCUCACCAAGGCGACGAUCCCUAGCUGGUCUGAGAGGAUGACCAGCCACACUGGAACUGAGACACGGUCCAGACUCCUACGGGAGGCAGCAGUGGGGAAUAUUGCACAAUGGGCGCAAGCCUGAUGCAGCCAUGCCGCGUGUAUGAAGAAGGCCUUCGGGUUGUAAAGUACUUUCAGCGGGGAGGAAGGUGUUGUGGUUAAUAACCGCAGCAAUUGACGUUACCCGCAGAAGAAGCACCGGCUAACUCCGUGC